rnacentral:rRNA from 1 species
AUUGAACGCUGGCGGAAUGCUUUACACAUGCAAGUCGAACGGUAGAGGGGGCAACCCCUUGAGAGUGGCGAACGGGUGAGUAAUAUAUCGGAACGUGCCCAGUCGUGGGGAUAACGUAGCGAAAGUUACGCUAAUACCGCAUACGAUCUAAGGAUGAAAGCGGGGGACUCGCAAGAGCCUCGCGCGAUUGGAGCGGCCGAUAUCAGAUUAGGUAGUUGGUGGGGUAAAGGCUCACCAAGCCAACGAUCUGUAGCUGGUCUGAGAGGACGACCAGCCACACUGGAACUGAGACACGGUCCAGACUCCUACGGGAGGCAGCAGUGGGGAAUUUUGGACAAUGGACGCAAGUCUGAUCCAGCCAUUCCGCGUGCAGGAUGAAGGCCCUCGGGUUGUAAACGUGCUUUUGUACGGAACGAAAAGGUUUCUAUUAAUACUAGGAGCUCAUGACGGUACCGUAAGAAUAAGACACCGGCUAACUACGUGCCAGCAGCCGCGGUAAAGUG